UACACUCCUACGGGAGGCAGCAGUGGGGAAUUUUGGACAAUGGGCGAAAGCCUGAUCCAGCAAUGCCGCGUGCAGGAUGAAGGCCUUCGGGUUGUAAACUGCUUUUGUACGGAACGAAAAAGCUCCUUCUAAUACAGGGGGCCCAUGACGGUACCGUAAGAAUAAGCACCGGCUAACUACGUGCCAGCAGCCGCGGUAAUACGUAGGGUGCGAGCGUUAAUCGGAAUUACUGGGCGUAAAGCGUGCGCAGGCGGUUAUGUAAGACAGAUGUGAAAUCCCCGGGCUCAACCUGGGAACUGCAUUUGUGACUGCAUGGCUAGAGUACGGUAGAGGGGGAUGGAAUUCCGCGUGUAGCAGUGAAAUGCGUAGAUAUGCGGAGGAACACCGAUGGCGAAGGCAAUCCCCUGGACCUGUACUGACGCUCAUGCACGAAAGCGUGGGGAGCAAACAGGAUUAGAAACCCCGGUAGUCCC
rnacentral:rRNA from 1 species